rnacentral:rRNA from 1 species
CAGCCGCCGCGGUAAUACGAAGGGGGCUAGCGUUGCUCGGAAUCACUGGGCGUAAAGGGUGCGUAGGCGGGUCUUUAAGUCAGGGGUGAAAUCCUGGAGCUCAACUCCAGAACUGCCUUUGAUACUGAAGAUCUUGAGUUCGGGAGAGGUGAGUGGAACUGCGAGUGUAGAGGUGAAAUUCGUAGAUAUUCGCAAGAACACCAGUGGCGAAGGCGGCUCACUGGCCCGAUACUGACGCUGGGGCGCGAAAGCGUGGGGAGCGAACAGGAUUAGAUACCCCUGUAGUCCCUGUCUCUUAUAC